rnacentral:rRNA from 2 species
CAUGCAAGUCGAGCGAACAGAUAAGGAGCUUGCUCCUUUGACGUUAGCGGCGGACGGGUGAGUAACACGUGGGUAACCUACCUAUAAGACUGGAAUAACUCCGGGAAACCGGGGCUAAUGCCGGAUAACAUGUUGAACCGCAUGGUUCUACAGUGAAAGACGGUCUUGCUGUCACUUAUAGAUGGACCCGCGCCGUAUUAGCUAGUUGGUGGGGUAACGGCCUACCAAGGCGACGAUACGUAGCCGACCUGAGAGGGUGAUCGGCCACACUGGAACUGAGACACGGUCCAGACUCCUACGGGAGGCAGCAGUAGGGAAUCUUCCGCAAUGGGCGAAAGCCUGACGGAGCAACGCCGCGUGAGUGAUGAAGGUCUUCGGAUCGUAAAGCUCUGUUGUUAGGGAAGAACAAAUGUGUAAGUAACUGUGCACAUCUUGACGGUACCUAACCAGAAAGCCACGGCUAA